rnacentral:lncRNA from 1 species
CUUCUCUCAUAGUGGCCUUGGCAGGCCAAGAAGGAGGGGACAUUGCCAGUCUGGCAAUGCCAGUCUGCCUUCUUUCACCUGAAAAUGAAACCAGUUCUUAAUAAGAUCCUCCUAAAGUCAAUCAAAGCCCCAGUUCCUAUCAUUUUCCCAUGGCUGCCCUUUUCUGAGAAGUUCCAAGCCAUUGAACUGAAUUGCAACUUAUGCACAGCAGAGUGUUGAAACAAUGCAGGAUAUUUGUUCCUUCUUUCUGAAUUAGAGUUCACCAUAAGCGUGCUUUUCUCUUGUUCACUUUGGGCUGCCAGGACAAUUUAAAGGAGGUUUUCAGCAGCUUCUGUUGCAUGUGCCAUGUUCUCUUUAGCAAAUGGGAAGAUAUGUGUGGGUGUGCAUAAGUCUUCUCUGUAUUACUUUCUGGAGAAAUGUUUGCGGAGAUGAACAAGAUAAGGAGUAGGGACCUAUUGAAAGCCC